GGGGGAUUAGCUCAGCUUGGGAGAGCACCUGCUGUUGCAAGCAGGGGGGUCGUCGGUUCGAUCCCUCAUCCCUCC
rnacentral:tRNA from 1 species